UACGGAGGGGGCAAGCGUUGUUCGGAUUUACUGGGCGUAAAGGGCGCGUAGGCGGUCAGCACAAGUCAGUUGUGAAAUCUCCGGGCUUAACUCGGAACGGUCAAGUGAUACUGUCGCGCUAGAGUGCGGAAGGGGCAAUCAGAAUUCUUGGUGUAGCGGUGAAAUGCGUAGAUAUCAAGAGGAAUACCUGAGGUGAAGACGGGUUGCUAGGCCGACACUGACGCUGAAGCGCGAAAGCCAGGGGAGCAAACGGG
rnacentral:rRNA from 1 species